AUUGAACGCUGGCGGCAGGCUUAACACAUGCAAGUCGAGCGGGGGAAGGUAGCUUGCUACCGGACCUAGCGGCGGACGGGUGAGUAAUGCUUAGGAAUCUGCCUAUUAGUGGGGGACAACAUCUCGAAAGGGAUGCUAAUACCGCAUACGUCCUACGGGAGAAAGAAGGGGAUCUUCGGACCUCGCGCUAAUAGAUGAGCCUAAGUCGGAUUAGCUAGUUGGUGGGGUAAAGGCCUACCAAGGCGACGAUCUGUAGCGGGUCUGAGAGGAUGAUCCGCCACACUGGGACUGAGACACGGCCCAGACUCCUACGGGAGGCAGCAGUGGGGAAUAUUGGACAAUGGGGGGAACCCUGAUCCAGCCAUGCCGCGUGUGUGAAGAAGGCCUUAUGGUUGUAAAGCACUUUAAGCGAGGAGGAGGCUACUUUAGUUAAUACCUAGAGAUAGUGGACGUUACUCGCAGAAUAAGCACCGGCUAACUCUGUGCCAGCCGCCGCGGUAA
rnacentral:rRNA from 1 species